UUCUUCGACGAGUGCCAACAAACCAACUUCCGCCAGAGAACAAAAGUUUUAGCCCUUGCUUAGAUAACGUUAGCGGAUACAAAUUUAAUUGUGGUUUUGUGGCAGACGUGUCUUCGAAAUAAUUCCGUGCCACGUGCAUUCUAAAUAGCGCCAGGAAGAACGAGGCCAACGUGUGGUAACCUCCGCUUUUCAGCCGUAUUAUUUUGUUUUCAUUCGUGGCUCUUCGCGAUAACUUUUCAACACGAAGGAUCAAAUUUAAUCCGAACAAGUUCACCGUACAGUUCAUUCCGAGAUCACUGGUUACAUCAGUUUUUUUUUUGAGUUUUCCGACAUGUCAUAUCCCAGUCAAUCGAUUACGGAUGCGCCGAUCUUCAAAGCUACUCUAGAGGAUGAUGGACAAAGCAACGAUGCUCGAUGGCAUUCCACUGAUCCUGAGUGCGUCUUCAUUUCAUCAGCAUAUUCAAGGAGUGUCAGGUUACCCUUGAAAAACUGGAGGGCGGUAGACUGUCAUGAUGACGUAUUUUCUUCAUUUUAAUUGGCCUGCGAGAUUACGGCGAUUAGUAUGAUACGUAAAUCGGGCGACUUCGUCUAUUAUACGCAGUUUUAGAACGAGAGGAAACACGGACACCGAAAUAUGGAUAACCCUCCCUUGGUGAGCAAAUUUAGAUUAUUUUCUUCUCAGUUAUUAACCUGAACAGCCUGAACACAGCACAUUAAUAAAAAAAGUAUCUAUAUGUAGAAAGUUAAAA